GCUGUGAUGGCCAAGUGGUUAAGGUGUUGAACUUGAAAUCCAAUGGGAUUUCCUUACGGAGGUUUGAAUCUUGCUUGUAGCA
rnacentral:tRNA from 1 species